UACGUAGGGUGCAAGCGUUGUCCGGAAUUAUUGGGCGUAAAGAGCUCGUAGGCGGUCUGUCGCGUCUGCUGUGAAAACCUAGGGCUUAACUCUGGGCGUGCAGUGGGUACGGGCAGGCUAGAGUGCGGUAGGGGAGACUGGAAUUCCUGGUGUAGCGGUGAAAUGCGCAGAUAUCAGGAGGAACACCGGUGGCGAAGGCGGGUCUCUGGGCCGUAACUGACGCUGAGGUGCGAAAGCGUGGGGAGCAAACAGG
rnacentral:rRNA from 1 species